AUGCUGUGAUGAUAAAAUAUAACACAUCAUGCUGACAAAAUACUGUGGUGACUAUCAAACCCUGAGCAUA